GGGCGCCGCCUGAGGGCGGGGGGUACGAAAGGGAACCUGCCGCCGGUUGUUUCCUCAGGUUUAUUGUGAAACAGUUGCAGUGUCAAUGAGAAGCUAGCAGUAAACCACAUACCACAAGCGUUCAGUGUUAUCUGAGGAAGAUGCAGUGUCCUAGUGCAUACCUCUGACGGAGCUGAUCCUGGGUGUGGAAUAGUCUCUGCAUGGCCCAGUUUGGAGCAGACUGAUAAGGCUCGUUUCUUAGCAACCACAGUCUGCCAUAGCCAGAAACCUGCCCCUCUGCAGCUGGAGGGAAAAUUCUGAAUGUCU